rnacentral:rRNA from 1 species
GAUGAACGCUGGCGGCGUGCCUAAUACAUGCAAGUCGAGCGAACAGACGAGGAGCUUGCUCCUCUGACGUUAGCGGCGGACGGGUGAGUAACACGUGGAUAACCUACCUAUAAGACUGGGAUAACUUCGGGAAACCGGAGCUAAUACCGGAUAAUAUAUUGAACCGCAUGGUUCAAUAGUGAAAGACGGUUUUGCUGUCACUUAUAGAUGGAUCCGCGCCGCAUUAGCUAGUUGGUAAGGUAACGGCUUACCAAGGCAACGAUGCGUAGCCGACCUGAGAGGGUGAUCGCCCACCCUGGAACGUAGACACGGUCCAGACUCCUACGGGAGGCAGCAGUAGGGAAUCUUCCGCAAUGGGCGAAAGCCUGACGGAGCAACGCCGCGUGAGUGAUGAAGGUCUUCGGAUCGUAAAACUCUGUUAUUAGGGAAGAACAAAUGUGUAAGUAACUAUGCACGUCUUGACGGUACCUAAUCAGAAAGCCACGGCUAACUACGUG